rnacentral:rRNA from 1 species
GACGAACGCUGGCGGCGUGCUUAACACAUGCAAGUCGAGCGGUAACAGGUGUAGCAAUACAUGCUGACGAGCGGCGAACGGGUGAGUAAUGCUUCGGAAUCUGCCCAUGUAGUGGGGAAUAACCAGCCGAAAGGUUGGCUAAUACCGCAUACGACCUACGGGUGAAAGCAGGGGAUCGCAAGACCUUGCGCUAUUGGAUGAGCCGAAGUCGGAUUAGCUAGNGGUAGGGUAACGGCCUACCAAGGCGACGAUCCGUAGCUGGUCUGAGAGGACGACCAGCCACACUGGGACUGAGACACGGCCCAGACUCCUACGGGAGGCAGCAGUGGGGAAUAUUGGACAAUGGGGGCAACCCUGAUCCAGCGACGCCGCGUGUGUGAAGAAGG